rfam:Aurantimonas sp. 22II-16-19i contig32, whole genome shotgun sequence.
GGCGUAUUUUGCGGCGGCGGAGCUCGACCGCCGGUUCAAGCCAUGAAGACGAUCAUCGUGAUGUCUAUGGCCCCUUCGACUUCGCUCAGGAGAGCCGAUCUGCCGGGUUCUGCAGAUCGCCCCA